rnacentral:rRNA from 1 species
CAGUCGCCACGGGAAUACGAAGGGUGCAAGCGUUACUCGGAAUUACUGGGCGUAAAGCGUGCGUAGGUGGUGGUUUAAGUCCGUUGUGAAAGCCCUGGGCUCAACCUGGGAAUUGCAUUGGAUACUGGGUCACUAGAGUGUGGUAGAGGAUAGUGGAAUUUCCGGUGUAGCAGUGAAAUGCGUAGAGAUCGGAAGGAACAUCUGUGGCGAAGGCGACUAUCUGGGCCAACACUGACACUGAGGCACGAAAGCGUGGGGAGCAAACAGGAUUAGAUACCCCUGUAGUCCCUGUCUCUUAUAC